GUUUGAUUUGUACUUUUCUGAAGAUCUUUUAAGAAGUACAGUUUAUUUUUCCCUAAUAUUACAAGAACUCAUGCAUUUCCCUCACCCAGGUUGCAUCUCACUGAAUAAACCGGGAGGGAUUGAUAUAAUUAAUAGAGUUCACAACAGACCGAAGAAAGAAGCCAGCAAACAGCAACUACCCAACCUGCAGAAAACAAUGCGCUUGAUGCUGCACAGCGAUCUCUCUUCAGCUCCAAUACUGCAAAAUCCAAGUUUAAUUCAGAGCACAGAUGAUCUGGAUAAAGAGCAGAUAACAACAAAUUCAGGGCCUUGCCUUUGACUCUUCCUUGCAGAAAGUAAAUGCACCAAUAUUCAGAUCAAGCUAAGCUGUAGACCUUCAGAAGUAUGAUGAUAAAGAUAGUCAAGGUAGACUGCACACUAACAAUAUAUCGCUAAGAUUGUACAGUUCUCACUAGAAGCCAAUAAAUAUGCUUCUAUAAAGAU